rnacentral:lncRNA from 1 species
AUAACCAACAAGUUAAAUCACUAGUACAAUUAUAACUUUAACUCGUAUCAAAAUUGGAAAGUAAUUAAACUCUAUUGUGCUUCAACAUAGUCACCAACCUGAUGAAUACUUAUACUAUAUGUAGCUUCGACUAAUAGCAAGAUUGGGAAGUAGGGGGGGGGAGGGGGGGGAAUAUUAACGACAGAGAAAAAAUAUGCAUACAAUUAUUUCGAAAUUCACUUUUACUUGGAUAUGGCCCUAUGAGCUGUGCUUUUGGAGGCAAAGGUACAAAUUCAUCCAUAAAAGUCCUGACCCAAAUAAAUACCCUGUGAUAAUACCAUUAAAAUUUCGGUAUGCUUUAACACAACUACCAGCAGAUAAAGAGCCCACAAGAUUGGGAACAAUCAGUAAUAUAUAUGGAGAUGUAUUAACUGAUUGGUAGCAUAAAUACCCAAUAGUCAAGGCAAAGUAGAAGCAUUUAAGAACAAGCUGACUAAAAUGAAUAGCCUAGAUUCAGUAGAUAAAAUUCUGUUGGAAAUAGAACAAUGAUUUUUAUUUUUUUGACAAGUAAAAUUUAUUUAGAACAAGCUGCCAAAAAGGGGAUGGCUCCCAGGUACACGGAGAGUAUACAAAAGUAAAGAGACUACGCUCAAAAGACCGCAAAGAAAUUAGGGAGAAAAUUCAUACUUCAUUGUUUUCAUCAAAACCUCACUAGUGAAUACAGAUCAUCGUAUUAUCUACACUGCUAGAAGAUGAAAAGUUAACAAACUAGUCAUCCAAGUUGAACAACACGAGGGCUAAACAACUGUAGCAUAUAUAUCAAGUAGCAGGAUUAGAAGUUUAACAAAGCAAGUAACAUAUUCAUAACUUUACAAAGCUAACACCUGUUCACAAUGAAAUUUAUUCCUCUUCCAUAAAUCAAUACACUACAAUUUUUCCAAUUAUAAAGAAUAAACCCUAGAUUUCUUACUUGACAACCCAUAUGAUGAAAACUCAUAAAGAACAAACCCUAGAUUUCUAAUGCGACAAACAUAAAUUUCAAACCCAAGUUUAACUUUACCUUACGUCUGAUACAGUAUCGCGUGAGUAAGAGGUGGAAGGGUUGGAGAGAGAAAAAUCGAUUUGCUUGGCUUUCUCUCUUGCAGCAAACUUCAUUCUUGAUUUUGGGAGAGCCUUAGAAACAGGGCGAAUCGAUUUUUCUGUCUUGCGAUUUUGAGAUUUAGCUCUUCGAUUUUGGCAGUGGACGAUUUCAAGGGAGAAGAUUUUGGCAGUGAAGCUCAGCCACUGUAGUCUGUAGCGAGAUGCUCUUCCUUUGUGUCUUUGUUUUAUCGACUUAGUGAGGAGAGAGUAAUAAAAGACCGGGUUUUUAAAAGAGAAUGCUCUUUAAGGACAGAGUGCUCGUUUAGGAGAGUGCUCCUGAUCGGGGCUGUAUAUAUAUAUAUAUAUAUACGGAGAGGAUUAAGAGCACUCUCCUUAAAUAGCACUCCGCCUUAAAUAGCACUCUUUUAUCAAAACGACGUAGUUUUGAAGGGACGCGGUGACAUUUUUAUAAAUAGCACUCUUGAUC